rnacentral:rRNA from 1 species
CAGCUCUCCGAGUGGUGUGGAUGUUUAUUGGGCCUAAAGCAUCCGUAGCUGGCUAGGUCAGUCCCUUGUUAAAUCCACCGAAUUAAUCGUUGGAUUGCGGGGGAUACUGCUUGGCUAGGGGACGAGAGAGGCAGACGGUAUUUUCGGGGUAGGGGUGAAAUCCUAUAAUCCCGGGAAGACCACCAGUGGCGAAGGCUGUCUGCUAGAACGCGCCCGACGGUGAGGGAUGAAAGCUGGGGGAGCGAACCGGAUUAGAUACCCGAGUAGUCC